rnacentral:rRNA from 1 species
GAUGAAGUCACUCUCCCUUCGGGGCCUGUGCACAGGUGCUGCAUGGCUGUCGUCAGCUCGUGUCGUGAGAUGUUGGGUUAAGUCCCGCAACGAGCGCAACCCUCGCCCUCUGUUGCUACCGGGUCAUGCCGGGCACUCUGAGGGGACUGCCCCGGUGAACGGGGAGGAAGGUGGGGAUGACGUCAAGUCCUCAUGGCCUUUAUGUCCAGGGCUACACACGUGCUACAAUGGUCAGGACAAUGGGUCGCUCCCUCGCAAGAGGUUGCCAAUCUCAAAAACCUGGCCUUAGUUCGGAUGGUCGGCUGCAACUCGCCGGCCUGAAGCUGGAAUCGCUAGUAAUCGGAGAUCAGCACGCUCCGGUGAAUACGUUCCCGGGCCUUGUACACACCGCCCGUCACACCACGAAAGCUGUGUGUACCAGAAGUCGCUGGGCCAACCCCUUCGGGGGAGGUAGGCGCCUAAGGUAUGCGGGGUAAUUGGGGUGAAGUCGUAACAAGGUAGCCGU